UUGACGGUACCACCAAAGGAAGCACCGGCUAACUCCGUGCCAGCAGCCGCGGUAAUACGGGGGGUGCAAGCGUUGUUCGGAAUUAUUGGGCGUAAAGAGCGUGUAGGCGGCUUGAUAAGUCAGAUGUGAAAGCCCUGGGCUUAACCCAGGAAGUGCAUUUGAAACUGUCUUGCUUGAGUAAGGGAGGGGGAAGUGGAAUUCCUGGUGUAGAGGUGGAAUUCGUAGAUAUCAGGAGGAACACCGGUGGCGAAGGCGACUUCCUGGCCCUAUACUGACGCUGAGACGCGAGAGCGUGGGUAGCAAACAGGAUUAGAUACCCUGGUAGUCCACGCCGUAAACGAUGUUCACUAGGUGUUGGGGGUAUUGACCCCCUCAGUGCCGGAGCUAACGCAUUAAGUGAACCGCCUGGGGAGUACGGUCGCAAGACUAAAACUCAGAGGAAUUGGCGGGGGCCCGCACACGCGGUGUAGCAUGUGGUUUAAUUCGAUGCAACGCGAAGAACCUUACCUGGGCUUGACAUCCACGGAACCUGCUGGAAACAGCGGGGUGCCUUUCGGGGAGCCGUGAGACAGGUGCUGCAUGGCUGUCGUCAGCUCGUGUCGUGAGAUGUUGGGUUAAGUCCCGCAACGAGCGCAACCCUUGUCUUUAAUUGCCAUCAUUAAGUUGGGCACUUUAGAGAGACUGCCGGUGUUAAACCGGAGGAAGGUGGGGAUGACGUCAAGUCCUCAUGGCCUUUAUGCCCAGGGCUACACACGUGCUACAAUGGGUGGUACAAAGAGC
rnacentral:rRNA from 1 species